UGGGGAAUAUUGCACAAUGGGCGCAAGCCUGAUGCAGCCAUGCCGCGUGUAUGAAGAAGGCCUUCGGGUUGUAAAGUACUUUCAGCGGGGAGGAAGGUGUUGAGGCUAAUAACCUCAGCAAUUGACGUUACCCGCAGAAGAAGCACCGGCUAACUCCGUGCCAGCAGCCGCGGUAAUACGGAGGGUGCAAGCGUUAAUCGGAAUUACUGGGCGUAAAGCGCACGCAGGCGGUCUGUCAAGUCGGAUGUGAAAUCCCCGGGCUCAACCUGGGAACUGCAUUCGAAACUGGCAGGCUAGAGUCUUGUAGAGGGGGGUAGAAUUCCAGGUGUAGCGGUGAAAUGCGUAGAGAUCUGGGGGAAUACCGGUGGCGAAGGCGGCCCCCUGGACAAAGACUGACGCUCAGGUGCGAAAGCGUGGGGAGCAAACA
rnacentral:rRNA from 1 species